GAUGAACGCUGGCGGCGUGCUUAACACAUGCAAGUCGAACGAGAAACCUUUUAUUGAAGCUUCGGCAGAUUUAGCUGGUUUCUAGUGGCGGACGGGUGAGUAACGCGUGGGUAACCUGCCCUAUACAGGGGGAUAACAACCAGAAAUGGUUGCUAAUACCGCAUAAGCGCACAGGGCCGCAUGGUCCGGUGUGAAAAACUCCGGUGGUAUAGGAUGGACCCGCGUUGGAUUAGCCAGUUGGCAGGGUAACGGCCUACCAAAGCGACGAUCCAUAGCCGGCCUGAGAGGGUGAACGGCCACAUUGGGACUGAGACACGGCCCAGACUCCUACGGGAGGCAGCAGUGGGGAAUAUUGCACAAUGGGGGAAACCCUGAUGCAGCGACGCCGCGUGAAGGAAGAAGUAUCUCGGUAUGUAAACUUCUAUCAGCAGGGAAGAUAGUGACGGUACCUGACUAAGAAGCCCCGGCUAACUACGUG
rnacentral:rRNA from 1 species